GUCAGUAUAGAAAUAUAGCAUUUAGAAGAGACAUGAUGCCCAGGGACAGGUCAGUAUAGAAAUAUAGCAUGUAGAAGAGACAUGAUGCCCAGGGACAGGUCAGUAUAGAAAUAUAGCAUUUAGAAGAGACAUGAUGCCCAGGGACAGGUCAGUAUAGAAAUAUAGCAUGUAGAAGAGACAUGAUGCCCAGGGACAGGUCAGUAUAGAAAUAUAGCAUUUAGAAGAGACAUGAUGCCCAGGGACAGGUCAGUAUAGAAAUAUAGAAGAGACAUGAUGCCCAGGGACAGGUCAGUAUAGAAAUAUAGCAUGUAGAAGAGACAUGAUGCCCAGGGACAGGUCAGUAUAGAAAUAUAGCAUGUAGAAGAGACAUGAUGCCCAGGGACAGGUCAGUAUAGAAAUAUAGCAUGUAGAAGAGACAUGAUGCCCAGGGACAGGUCAGUAUAGAAAUAUAGCAUGUAGAAGAGACAUGAUGCCCAGGGACAGGUCAGUAUAGAAAUAUAGCAUUUAGAAGAGACAUGAUGCCCAGGGACAGGUCAGUAUAGAAAUAUAGAAGAGACAUGAUGCCCAGGGACAGGUCAGUAUAGAAAUAUAGCAUGUAGAAGAGACAUGAUGCCCAGGGACAGGUCAGUAUAGAAAUAUAGCAUGUAGAAGAGACAUGAUGCCCAGGGACAGGUCAGUAUAGAAAUAUAGCAUUUAGAAGAGACAUGAUGCCCAGGGACAGGUCAGUAUAGAAAUAUAGCAUGUAGAAGAGACAUGAUGCCCAGGGACAGGUCAGUAUAGAAAUAUAGCAUUUAGAAGAGACAUGAUGCCCAGGGACAGGUCAGUAUAGAAAUAUAGCAUUUAGAAGAGACAUGAUGCCCAGGGACAGGUCAGUAUAGAAAUAUAGCAUGUAGAAGAGACAUGAUGCCCAGGGACAGGUCAGUAUAGAAAUAUAGCAUGUAGAAGAGACAUGAUGCCCAGGGACAGGUCAGUAUAGAAAUAUAGCAUGUAGAAGAGACAUGAUGCCCAGGGACAGGUCAGUAUAGAAAUAUAGCAUUUAGAAGAGACAUGAUGCCCAGGGACAGGUCAGUAUAGAAAUAUAGCAUGUAGAAGAGACAUGAUGCCCAGGGACAGGUCAGUAUAGAAAUAUAGCAUGUAGAAGAGACAUGAUGCCCAGGGACAGGUCAGUAUAGAAAUAUAGCAUGUAGAAGAGACAUGAUGCCCAGGGACAGGUCAGUAUAGAAAUAUAGCAUGUAGAAGAGACAUGAUG